ACACACACAUACACACUCACAAACAAACACAUACACAUGCAUACACACAUGCAUGCAAGAACGCACACGUUGUGGUGGCCCAGCCGCUGAGCAGUGCCCCACAUGGCCACGGGGUGGCCACAAAGGCAGGCAAAGGCAGCCAAGGGGUGUGGUUCUGGAUGGGAGGUACUACUCAGCUUACCCUGCACAGGUGCGCUGAGUUAGCCCUGCAAUCAGAGGGCCUUUUUAACUCCACCAGAACAGGCUGAAGACAGACUGGCUGGAGGAGCGUGUGGAGACCAGAGACACGUUAGGCCAGUCUCGUGGAAGAGCCAGAAAGGGCACCCUGACGACAGCCGCCAACCCGGUGAAGAUUUGAGUUGCCUUUUGCCCCCUCCCUUUUCCCCUGCACCCUUUUUUAUAAAUAAAUGACUUAAGUUGAUUUCACCGCAACCCCCGCUUCCGCCUGUUCUGUUCUGAUUGGUGAUCCCACUGUUGUACCUCAGAGACCAGGCGCCCACAACGUA